UACAGAGGGUGCAAGCGUUGUUCGGAAUUAUUGGGCGUAAAGCGCGUGUAGGCGGCUUGGCAAGUCGGGUGUGAAAGCUCUCAGCUCAACUGAGAAAGUGCGCCCGAAACUGCUGAGCUUGAGUGCCGGAGAGGAUGGCGGAAUACCCCAAGUAGAGGUGAAAUUCGUAGAUAUGGGGUGGAACACCGGUGGCGAAGGCGGCCAUCUGGACGGUAACUGACGCUGAGACGCGAAAGCGUGGGUAGCAAACAGG
rnacentral:rRNA from 1 species